rnacentral:rRNA from 1 species
GACGAACGCUGGCGGCGUGCUUAACACAUGCAAGUCGAACGGAAAGGCCCCUUUGGGGGUACUCGAGUGGCGAACGGGUGAGUAACACGUGAGUAACCUGCCCUUGACUUCGGGAUAACUUCAGGAAACUGGGGCUAAUACCGGAUAGGAAUCCUUGCUGCAUGGUGGGGGUUGGAAAGCUUCGGCGGGUUUGGAUGGACUCGCGGCGUAUCAGCUUGUUGGUGGGGUAGUGGCUUACCGAGGCGUUGACGGGUAGCCGGCCUGAGAGGGCGACCGGCCACAUUGGGACUGAGAUACGGCCCAGACUCCUACGGGAGGCAGCAGGGGGGAAUAUUGCACAAUGGGCGGAAGCCUGAUGAAGCAACGCCGCGUGCGGGAUGACGGCCUUCGGGUUGUAAACCGCUUUCAGCAGGGGCGAAGCUUGUGGUGACGGUACCUGCAGAAGAAGCACCGGCUAACUACGUG